AGGGUUUGAUCCUGGCUCAGGAUGAACGCUAGCGGCAGGCCUAACACAUGCAAGUCGAGGGGUAGUUACUUUCGGGUAAUGAGACCGGCGCACGGGUGCGUAACGCGUAUGCAAUCUACCUUUUACAGGGGAAUAGCCCAGAGAAAUUUGGAUUAAUGCCCCAUAGUAUGUAUGAAUCGCAUGGUUUAUACAUUAAAGUUCCAACGGUAAAAGAUGAGCAUGCGUCCCAUUAGUUAGUUGGUAAGGUAACGGCUUACCAAGACGAUGAUGGGUAGGGGUCCUGAGAGGGAGAUCCCCCACACUGGUACUGAGACACGGACCAGACUCCUACGGGAGGCAGCAGUGAGGAAUAUUGGACAAUGGGCGCAAGCCUGAUCCAGCCAUGCCGCGUGCAGGAAGAAGCAUCUAUGGUGUGUAAACUGCUUUUGUACGGGAAGAAACACUCCUACGUGUAGGAGCUUGACGGUACCGUAAGAAUAAGGAUCGGCUAACUCCGUGCCAGCAGCCGCGGUAAUACGGAGGAUCCAAGCGUUAUCCGGAAUCAUUGGGUUUAAAGG
rnacentral:rRNA from 1 species